UGAUGUGGCAGAUUGUUCACGAUCGAAGAUAGAAUUAAAGGUACAACUCCGUGGGUUCUUUUAAUUAUCGGUGAAAGUGUGAAUAAAUAUUUCAAACCGUGGAAUCCAUUGAAAGUUAUAAUUAAAAACGCUCCUAUGCUAUACAAUGGAAUAUGCAUAAUUCAAGCCAGCUUUAGCUCAAUUGUGAUAACCUCGAAGUGCCUUAAAUACAGUAGCUAGUACUAGCUACCAGAAACAAUACUCGCACCUGAUCAUGAAGAUUUCUGGCACAACCAAAAGUCUGGGUAAAAAACAAUCAACACAAUAAGAAAAACAGAAAAAAUCUAAACAUCAUUACAGAACGACCUCGAUUAAUUUUAACGUCCCCUCCAUUGUACCCAUAACUGAUGUUGCAUUUGCGCGCUGUAUCUCCAACGAAAGUCGCUGUCGGAAUAUACGUAUAAUCGUGUUGUGUAAACUGGUACGUACGAUUGAUACUACAUACUGGGACGAAGGAGAAAUUUAUUUAGCAACCGUGGAAUGCUUUAAACCACAGGAGUUUGGACGAACAAAAGUAUUCAUUUAAUUCUUAGGCAGGUCAUCGUCAAUCUUGAAUCACUUCAGGGAAGUGGGCCGGGACAUGGUACCGAAUUCGUGUACAUGCACGAAAACUUACAUUUUCGCGCACUCCCAAACACUUUUUUGUUUCGGAUUAGGUAUGACGUUUUGCAGCCAGAAGAUUUGUAUACACUGGCGUGAGAACCGUUUGUGCGUGCAACAUCCGGUUCGGGAGUUAUGGCUGUUACAAAAUUCCAAAAAGUUUAAAUGCGUUCAGGUGUACCAAAAGUCUCAUUAUGGACCGAUCUCCCUCAAAUUUUCCACGUAAAUGCACAUAACCACGAAGAACGCCAUAACUCGCGAACCGGAUGUUGCGCGCACAAACUGUUUUCACGCCAGUGUAUAUAAAUCUUCUGGCUACAAAACUUCAUAAACCGAAACAAAAAUGUGUUUGGGAGUGCGCGAAAGUGCAAGUUUUCGUGCGUGUACACGAAUUUGGUACUAUGUACCGGCCCACUUCCCUUCAGUACUUCUAUAGCUAAAUCAGUGCAAUCUUUCAUUGCGCAUAAUAGGAUGUGAACGCUUCCUGCAAGGCUGAAAGUGGUGUUUCCGUUCUGCAACUACAGAUAUAAUUAUACUCUGAAUAUAAAUAUACAAUAAUAUAAUAUAAGUAGUGGUCGCGCUCCAGAAUAGCGCGCGAUGAGUUGCGUUUCAGGCAUGGAAUUAUGAUCGAAAAAAUUAAUAUGGAGUGUGGAAUAUUUCGCAAUAUAUUUAGAAGCACAGAAAUGCUGAAAUCUACAGAGCAUCCGCUCCACCAAGCAUGGCUACCGAUCAGAUUACGGUCACCGCCAAGACCGUUCUCCCUUUACCGACCACCGUUGAGCAUUGGCUGAAUAAAUGCCUUAUGGAAUCCCAGCAUGGCGAUCUUCUGACUUUACAUCAACGGAGCCGCCCGGAAUGCUUUGGCGACGGAUACAUCGCCUGGUGCUUAUUGCACCACUACUUUCCGCGCGAUAUCAACAUGACGGCUUUCCGGACACCACAUAGCCGUCACGAAUACGCCGAGAUCUGGAGUCAGGUGGAUCUGGUACUGCGGAAGCAUAGCCUGCCACGCUUCUCUGCUGACCUGGUAGCGGCGGUUGUUAAAGGUUGCCAGUCUGCGAAAGCGGUACUGCUGAUGCUGUUGUAUGAGGCGCUUACAAAUCUGAAACUGCCGCGAGCCAUACCGCAGUUUGUGCCUGAAAGGGGCGACCGGAAGGGCGGGGUGUUGCGGGCUACUCCAGUGUACGCGAGACGCUAUUCUGCAUCGUUCAUACAACUUCUUCAGGGAAUGUACGGCACCAGUCAAAACCUAGCCUUUUCAUUUGGUCAGCGCGAGCUGCAACCACCUAAAACGCUCGUGGCAGAAACACAACACAUCAUCCCGGAUGGUGAGAAGCCGGACGAGCAACUAAAGAGGUUAUUACGCAAACGUCAUGGAUCGCGUUGUUUUUUGUACCACUCAGACUACGCUGCUCCAAUCAAAUUUGGUACCCAGCAGAAACGUCCCGCAUCCGCUAAGACGAAUCUAAAAUUGAAAGGUCACGAACAACCUCAGGAAAUCAACAGAGGAGGGUCAACUACAAUCUCCCAUUAUCGAGUCAUCAGACAACACGUAGCGGCAAUUAAAAAGCCCGCAACGCCAUCGGGACUGCUCCAGCCGCCAUUUUUUAUAUCACCGGAUCCAUUGCACAAACAGCCCAGAGCUAUCGUUUCGUCUUAGCUGUACAUAGAUGCGUUCGUAGACAUGGCCGGCGGGAUUGAUUGAAAUGAAGCGCCGCGCCGUCACCGCACACGUCAAUCCUGCCCCGAAUGAACAUUUUUCAUAUCCGAUUUACGAUAUUGUGUGAACGACGAACGAAUAGGACCAGUUGUGGGUUAUCUGGAGUUUGGUUACCGCGAUUCCAGCUAUUAAGACCUAAUUAAUCCUGCACAUGAUACAUAUACGUCGACCAUACUACAGACGGAAAUCUGAUAUAAAGGAUGCUCAUCGUCAUGAUCAGCCGGUACCGGAAACGCGUCCGGCCAUAAUCUAUCGGCUUAACUCUUUCAUAAACACACCAGAGUACAUAGGAAGCAGAUCAAACACCUUUUUCACAUUACUGGAUGUAGCUGAGGCUUUGGCAUUGUAAACGUAUAGCGAUAUCCCGCGGUCUCUGGUGAGCAGUACCAUGACGUUGCAAUAAUAUCGUGCCCAGCUGUUGUGAUUCGGUGUUGGAGACCUGACCGGUCGACUUAUGCGGCUUCGCGGUGAAGGUUAAGAACGAACAGAAAGUGUACAAAGUAUUGAUGUCAGUACACCUGUACAGACAUAACAAGUAUAUUGAUUGGUGUACGGGAAAAUUAGUUUGGCACAUAUUGGAUUUCUCUCGCAGCAUCCCGAUCAAUGUACUGUUGUCAGUGAAAAAACCUUUCAGUUCGACUGCGCAGUGUAAGUACAUCAGUAUACAACAACGAGAACAUCAACAGGCUGAUUAGCAUGGUAGGGUGUGUGUUGUCACUUUUGAACAUGUUGUGUGCACAAUGACGAUGCACUGUGGUAAAGUGUAAAAAGAUUUUGAGGUUGAGAUCCUCCGUUUUCUAGCCGUACUUGCAAUCACAAUCCAACGAUGUAAACGUAAUUUGAUACGAGUUUGCCAGGGUUUCUUUUUGCCUGCCGACUGAAUAUUAUUCUGUAGAAUUCCGCAAAUCUAAUCCAUUUUCGAAUGUUGUGAUCAUAGUACAGAUCUGUACUAACCGGCUUCCGACAUGAUAGAUUAGAAAGUUGCUGUCGUCGCCAAUUUGACCGGCGCGUUAAUUUUAAUUUAAAGGCUGACUUGAAUCAAUCGGUCGCCGAAAAAGUGCAAGGAAGAAUCUGGACUCAGUGCGCCGAGAGAAAUGUUGAUCGGCGACAGCGCUUGACUGCGCCGCGGAAAAGGAUGACGGCAAUUAAAUCACUUCUGCCUGAUGUGCUAUGCGUGUGCAGCUUCCUCUAUUUGCUCAGCCAUCUUCUGUGCAUGAGUCUAGCGUCCAACUGUUGGGACCGAGGCUGCCUGACCUCCCUCGUUGACCUCACCGACUUCCUGGAUCCCGGCUGGAUCCUUCUAGACGGUCUCGCCCUGCCGGUCUUGCAGUUGUGCGCUUGCGGCGCAUUGAAUAAAGCCCGCCAUCCGGUGCCGGGCGAGAAGGUGGAUCCGUUGGGCUUCGGUGGCUUGUUGAGCCUCUUCCUCUUUUCCAUUCUCUACAUGUCAGCCACACUUAUCUUCAGUAUGUGGAUGGGCAAUUGGGAUCUCCAUAAAGUGGCUCUGCUUAUAUUCCUCGUUACCGGCGUGAUGACCAUCACGACGGCGGUACUGGGAACGAUGCGGCGGAGCGAGUAUGAGAAAACUUCCGGUAGCCGAGCGCUGAUUAUUGAAGGUGCCGCACAGAAUUUCACUAGUCCGGAAUUCAACCUUGUGGUACACAGUGCAAGGAUGGUUUGAUUCUAUAAUCGAUGUACCGGCACUCCGGCAGUAUACUGCCACAUCCAUGUCUUUUUCCGAAUACGAGCUUGCCAUAAGUUAAUAAAUGUCCAUGCCUGGUUAAGUACUUUAAUACUCACUUCGUCUACUAGCACGGUUAUUCACACCAAAAGUGACCUUAUUGAUUCAACAACAACUUUUUAAAAAACUAAUGUUGUAGAAAACCUUUUUUUCGCUAUGUGAGUGAAAAGGGGCUCCUUACGUAUGUGACGACCGAAACAAGAU